GUGAAAUUUGAAUUCGAUAGGUAGCCAUUUUUGCUUUGGCUUUGAUACCUACUUGUGGUAAGGAAACAUGAUUAUUGUUGCAUGAACUGCCCACUGCCCAUUGCUGUCUUGUCUCGCGUUCAAUAUCCGAUCACCAUUCUUAAAUAGCUCACCUUACCAUAUGGAAAUCAGGUUUUAGGAGGCCACUAGGCCUGUGGGGCCUGGUCUCAAUGAGCUCCCAGUGCUUAGGACAGUCAAGCUCAUAUGUUGGGUAAGAUCAGGUUCAGGUAGGCCAGUAUGCACUCUGCAAAGCAUGGCAAUUUCGACAAGAUCUUGUCUGUGCUGGCUUGUCCGGCUGGUGAGGCUUUGGUGUGGCGUGGAUUUAGCUUGGUGCAGUGCGGAUUUUGUGUAGCGCGGUGCGGAUUUGGCCUGGUGUGGUCAGGUGGUGGGGGAUGUAGUGUAGUGCAUUUCAAAUGUGGCUUGGUGAUGGACAUGAUGGACCCAACAAAAUUGAUGGCCAAAAUUGAAAAAAAGCAUUAAUGGAGCUUUAACAUGCAAUUUAGUGUGCUCUCGGGCUGAUAGGUGUGCCGUGGUCAGAACGGAUUGUGCCAGUGCUGGUGCCUGGUGGUCCCACCAAUCACGGGUGCCAUCUCCUGUUGUGACCCAGGGGGUCUAGUCAAAACCUUACCUAUUUCUGCUAACCUAAACCUAUUUCUUACAAAUUAGGCAAAAAUGUGAUUAUGGUAUAAUGAUAAAAUGAUUCAAAAGUCUUCAUUUCACUCAAAUAUUAAACCUGGCCCUUUUUUCAGGCGCAAGCUCUGGAUGAACUUCUGCGGUGACGUCGGCAUUCUUACAGGAGAACCCAAGAUUCGCUGUACCUGUAUGCAUUUCAAAACUGAAUAAUUGAUAGCAGCAAGUAAAUAUUUGAAGUUGCAGCCAAAUGCUGUGCCUUCUCUGCUGCAAGAACUACAUGUCACCAUUGAAGCAAGGACCAGCUCGACUCCUGCAGUAGGAGUCCAGCCUCGUCCAGUCGUCCCCGCUCGCCAAGACCAGCCGGGCUCCUGCAAUAGGGGUCCAGGCUGACCCGUUCGUCCAGUAACCGCCGCUCGUCAGCACCAGCUGGGCUCCUGUAGUAGGGGUCCAGCCUCGUCCAGUCGCCGCCGCUCGCCAAGACCAGCUGGGCUCCUGUAGUAUGGGGCUAGGAUGGCCCGUUCAUCAACCGGUCCCGAAGUCACAUCGCUGUCAGCCAGCCGAACUCAGUACAUAAGUCACCAACCCUGAAUGUUGCCAGCCAAAGUCGGCAGUUUCCUUCGGACAGUCAUCUCACCAGUGUUGUACAGUGUACAUGUACAAGGUUAGUGACGCAGUUAAAUGCGUCAAUUAAAUGCGAGGACGUGCGCUUGUAUGCAGCGUUUUGUCAUGUUGAGCUGCAUGGGUGUCGAUUUUCACCGAAUUGAGGGUGCCCAGUGCCCACUGCCCGGGCGCAGCAAAUUCGCCGCCGCCUUAGCGGUGACCUUGACCUGCACCGUCUGUUGGGGCUCCAAAGCCAAGCCAGCCGAGCCGGCGGGAAAUUUAGACAGCUUGAGCACCCCCAACCCGGCGGAAAUUGACACCUAUGUUGAGCUGUAUGGAUGCGUUUUAGCCUUCCGCCGUGGUGGUAGAUAGCAGCCUACAUGCAGAAUUAGCCAGGCUUAUUGGCGGACUCAUUAUUGGAUUCAUUGUGUCACGUUUGUCGGCACGUGUAAGAUGUGCUUAACUGCCAUUGGCUCUCGGCCUGGCGACUUCUGGGGACCACGUAAUGGGGAUGACAAU